UGGCGCAAAGCUACCAUCUGUCGGCUAAUGACUGAACGCCUCUAAGUCAGAAGCCAUGGCGAGAGGAAGACUGCGUGCCUGACGCUUGUUACGCGUCUACCUAUAGCUUCGGCUAAGAGCAUACUCGAUCAUAAUUCGGAUGAGCGUCGGGUCAAAUCCCUUACAGACGAUUUGAAUAUGAAGCAGGGUGUUGUAAGUAGCAGAGUAGCCUUGCUGCUACGAUCUACUGAGACUCAGCCCUCGCUUC
rnacentral:rRNA from 1 species